rnacentral:lncRNA from 1 species
AAUUGAACGAUUCGAUGGCAAAUGCAGAAAGAUCGAUUGAAGAACAAGCAGAAAUUAUUCGAAAUUUAAAUAAUGAAAAAAGUGACAUGGGAAGGAAAAUACAAGAUUUGGAAGAAAAGUGUGAAAGCCUCAUCCAGCAGAAACAAAAAUUGGAAGACAACAUUUCGGAACUCAUGAAUAAUUCCAGCAGUUCAUCUGAGCAGCUGACCAGGCUUCAUUCAGAGCUCAGAGAAAAAGGUCAAGAAGUUGAAGGGCUUAGAGAAGCGUUGAAUGAAAAAACGAGAGCUGUUGAUAGAAUUGAAGAAGACCUGCGACAGCAGUUAGAACUCCUCUCUGAAAAGAAGAGCAAAUUGGAGGCUGCCUCAAAAGAAGAAAUUGAGAAAUUGAAGCAAGAGCAUGCAAAUAAUUUAGCAGCUCUAAAAAGUACACAUGAAGCAUCAUUAAUGAAUUCUUUAAAUGAAAUGGAGAAGGUUAAAUCUGAAUCGAUCAGUACUGAAACAAAUUUGAAAGAACAGAUCAAUCUUCUCAUAGCAGAGAAAAAAGAUCUCGAAACCAAGUUGGAGUCGUUUAAAGAUAGAGAAACUCAGUUGGAAUCGGAGUUGAAAGUUCUCAAAGAAGAAAAGCAGCAGAUGGAAAAGGAUCUAAAGGAAAUCAGUGAUGUGAAAGCUAAAACUGAUUGUGACCUUGAGGCGCAACUAGCUGAAAAAGAAAAUAGCAUUAAAAGAUGCGAACACCAAUUUGAAAUGUUCCGACAGUCUGCUAACCUUAUGGAGGAAAAGUUCAAAAAGAAAGUGGAAGAACUUACUCAAUCUUUAUCCAAAAAAGAUACUCUCCUAACCUCAGCAAAUAUUCAAAUAGAUGAGUUAAAAGUAGACUAUGAGACAGCAGAGGCCAGGAUACAGGAUUUGAAAAUUAAAGUCAGUAAGAAGAAAGAAAGAUUGAAAUGCUGAACAGAGAGUUACAAGAUACCAAAAAUCUUGCUAAAAAUUUGGAGACUGCUGUAACAGAAAAAAUUGAGUUGUUGGAGAAACAGGAGAAAGAAAUACAAUGUCUCAAAGCGGAAAAAGAAUCUUCCGUCCUAACUGCCGAGGAAAAAAUCAGGAACCUUGCUGAUUUAGAGAAAACUCAAUCACAGUUUGCUGAAAAAGAGGUCUCUUUAGUAAAAGAAAUUGAGAGUCUGAAGUCUGAAAGUAAUAAAAUCAAUGAAGACAUGAAGGCCAAAGAAAAUCAACUUCAAGAUUUACGUACAAAAAUUGAAAAUCUUCAGAGAGACAGGGUAGACAAAGAGAAUGAUUUGAACAAAGAAAUCGAGACUUUGAACGUUGAAAAAAAUCGCAUUAGUCAAAUACUCGAAGAAAAAGAUGAAAAAUUGAAAUCUUUAUACGCUGAGAUUGAAAGUAUCUCCCACAAAACGGCUGAAAAGGAAACCCUGCUCAAAGUUAAAAUUGAAAAUCAGCAGAAAGAGUCAGAAGAACUCACAAAGCAAUUAGCUGAAAAGAGUAGUCAGAUUCAAAUAAUUAGUUCAGAGCUUGAACUUCUGCAAUCUAAAAAUCACUCUCUCAACAAUGAGCUGUCUGAGAAGACAAACAAGAUAAAAACUCUGACUGAAGAGUUGAACUCUCUGAAACAAAGUAUUGCCCAAAAUAGUUCAGAUAAAGACAAGAUUAUUUGUGAGAAAAAUAAUAUUAUUUCGGAUUUGCAGCAAGAAAAAACGGCUAGUCUUAAAUCUUUCAAUGCCGAAGUAGAAUCUUUACAAAAAUCAAACAACAUUUUGUCCGCUGAGUUAGCAGCUAAAAAUUUGUCUCUUACUUCUUUGACGGAAGAAAUAAGCAACUUGAAGCAAAACAUAUCAACCAAUUCUGAAAACAAAGACAGUGCCUUAUUUGAAAAAGAAAAAAUCAUUGCAGAGUUAAAAACGGAAAAAGAAAAUGUCAACUCUAAUCUAAGCUCUCUCAUCACCAAAUAUGAGGAUUUGAAGACAAGGUUCGAGAAAGAAAGAGCUAGUCUUGAAGAAAAGCUAAAAAUUAACGAAAAAGAACAGAAAGCUCUGGCGGAAUUGAAAUCUACACUAGAGAAGGAGAGUGAAGCAAGCAAGAAGCAGAUAAUUGAAAUGAGCCACACAUUAAAUACUAAGAAUGAGGAAAUGUCAUCAUGA